rnacentral:lncRNA from 1 species
AUGGAGAGCGCUGAAAACAACAAGAAGGGUAAAAUACUACAAUCAUAUGAGAAUGUAGAAGCAGCUAUCUACAGCAAUCAAGACAAAGUCGCAUACUAUGUUUCUGCAGAUGAAGAUUAUCUUAACCCAGAUGCAAUCGGGGAAGAGGAAGUGGCGGGGCCACAGGAACAUCACAACACUCUACAACUGCCUAGCAAUUUGACAGAGACGGAUGGAGAGUCGUAUGAGGAUAUGGAGGGGUGUUUAUAUGCUCAACCUCGCAAACAGACACUGAAACUCCGACACGCCUCUGAAGACCAGGACUACAACAAUCCUGAUGAAGAUGGAAACAAGAUCUUGCUCUGGACCACACAGACACUGGUAAAGAUUUCACUGUGUGAUUAUAUGCACAUGUACGGUAUGAAAUACUGUACGAACUGUCAUUUUCUUUCCUUCCAGAGUCGUAUGAAAUGA